AGAGGCUUACUUGCAGUCCCUGAGCAAGACUCUGUCGCACUACCACAAGGCCCAACUGCUGCUCCUCGACAUCACCAACUUCUCGCUAUCCAGAGCAAGUAUGGGAGCUCCAAUAAGGCCAUCGUCCAGAACCAGUCCAUGUCCGAGAAGACGUUUGGAAGGGUGUCCGAGUUCAUCGCAUUUUUUGCAAUGUUUCCUAAGACGGAUGAGCCUAGAGGUACCAGAACAAUACAAUUCAAUAUCUUCUCAUGUUUCUGCAAGAGUAGGUACAGUGUACUGUGUUGGAUAUGCUGACUCGUUUUGAGGGAGCCAGAAAAUCUGUGGUGCUUCCUGGAAUCACGUUAUUCAAGGUAAAACCAGCCAAGUUGUUCUCUUUGAUGUUCUUUGCAUUAGAUUAAUAUAAAUCAUGUUCCUAGCAAAGUUCUAUUCUAUUACAAAUUUACAAUCUUUUAGAGUUGUAGUAGUCGGAGAUUCAUUUUCAAGUUUGAACCCCUAUCCUAUUAUUUAUGUUUGAGCAUGUUCUUCUUGUUUCUGUACGAGUACCUCUAAUUUAACUCUCUAAAAGCUCCCAAGCAAAAGAAGGCUUGCUGCGUCCUAAUAAAGAUUCUCCUUGUUUGCUUAUGCUUGUGUUGCUUCCUGCCUACUGCUUUGGGACAGAUAUAUGCAUGUUAGUUUGUCUCUGAUGUGUUGUAGGGCGUGCCCAAUUUUCUUAGAUUCUUACCAAUUCUUGAUUCUAGGAUCCAGUAGACUAGGUGAUCAUUUUUUAUAUAUGCCCAAACCAACGCAUGCUAUUGUAAUAUAUGUGCUUCAGAAUUGGCAGAGCACCACUUGCUGUAUACAUAUGCAAACAGUAAUUCUUGUUGCUCACCCAUAUGAGGUAUAGUUGUGGGAAUCCUGAACUGAGGUUGGGGAUUGCUGAUGUGAAAUGGCGGCGUCACGAGCCAGAAGGUUACCAUGGAGACCAUAAGCAGCCCAGCAGCAGCAACCCAACAUAAAUGCACAAAACAAGCAUGAGCGGAUACACGCAGCAACAAGCAUGGGAAUAGAAGUGGAUAGCCAUGGAACCUGUGCCGCAGGGAGCGCCGGUCAGCCCGGUGGACCUGUGACGUAAGCACGACGGUAGAUCAGACACACUCACGGUCAUUGGCGUGUGCGCUGGAUCGACUGUCCUCGGCUGAUACAAGCACCUGGCAUGAUGUGGUCGCUUGGUCUAUCCAUCAACAUUAUAUCUCCUUCAUCAAUUAGUUUUCUCAUAUUUCUUAUUAUGAAGGCUAGGAACUAGGCUGAAAUACACAGAUGUCUUAGUUGUUGCUUUUCUUAAUGCAGAUAUGGAAGAUCUAAAAUCCUCUGUGAAAGAUUUUGGUUCUGCGGAAGCCAAUGAUCUGGCACUGGGACCUUAACUUCUGGAGUGAACGACUGCAGGAAUCAAAAUACAAUAUUGAUGAGGUUCUUUCUUUACAGAAGUCGAUUACAAUAUUAAUGAAAUUAGCUCCUGACCAUUGCAUCUUUGCAUACUUAUUGGAAUUCGGUUUUAUCAUUAAUUGUAGAUUUAACUUUUUAGCUCUGAUGUAUGAGAAAUUUAUCUGCAUUUCUCAUCUAUCAUGGAUAUGCUGACAUAUUGCUCUACUAAAAGGCAUUGUUGGCCUAAGAUGUUAUUAUAUACGUAACAUGUUAUUGGCUAAAUAUGAUUCAUACUUUACAAACUCCUUACAGCUGGAGUAGGAUCCAAUGAACAGAUGGUGAAAAGUAAGUUAAGAACUUGCUUUGAUUUGUUCAAUUUUUUUACAGAAACUGUUAGAACACACUUUUCUUUGCAAGCUGGAUACAAAGAGGAAUGUGUUAAAUAUAUGGAAGAUAAAAUUAUUUGCAAGCAAACUCUGCUUGUCUGCCAUAUUUUGCGCACCGUCUUAAAAUUAUUUGUCCAACGGAAGGACUCUCUGCAACAUCAAUUCCAGUAUGUUGCUUUAAUUGUUCUGUGUGAUGCAAGGUAAUAUUUUUCUUGCAAUUUUUGCAUCUUUUACCUUUUCACUUCUGUUGAGAGAAACAUGUUGUUUCUUAAGAAGAUAUUGUUUAUAAGACGGAACAAUACUCACCAUAUAUGAUAUUCUUCCACCAAAUAAAUAUUUUUUUAGUGCAACUAAAAUCGUUUUCCUGCUCAUUCAUGAUGCUGUGGUCUGACACAGCCGAUGGAUGUUCAUGUUUCUCUAUUAGUUGCAAUGCCUUCUAGAUGUGCUACUAUAGUGUUAUUUUUCUAUGCUUUAAUAUCCAUUCUACAUGUGUUCUUCUGUUUAUUUUCCAGAUAUCCUGGCUCUCUGGAAUAUGCCCAGUUCAGCUGAAAGGAUGUAUUGCAAUUAUGCAGAGAGAUGGAAUUGUCGGACUCCAGUGCCACUUUCAGUUUUCUAUUUUUGCAGGGAUAUUGUGUGAGGGCUGGUGGUAUGAG